AUUGAACGCUGGCGGCAUGCCUUACACAUGCAAGUCGAACGGCAGCACGGGUGCUUGCACCUGGUGGCGAGUGGCGAACGGGUGAGUAAUACAUCGGAACAUGUCCUGUAGUGGGGGAUAGCCCGGCGAAAGCCGGAUUAAUACCGCAUACGAACUACGGAUGAAAGCGGGGGACCUUCGGGCCUCGCGCUAUAGGGUUGGCCGAUGGCUGAUUAGCUAGUUGGUGGGGUAAAGGCCUACCAAGGCGACGAUCAGUAGCUGGUCUGAGAGGGCGACCAGCCACACUGGGACUGAGACACGGCCCAGACUCCUACGGGAGGCAGCAGUGGGGAAUUUUGGACAAUGGGCGAAAGCCUGAUCCAGCAAUGCCGCGUGUGUGAAGAAGGCCUUCGGGUUGUAAAGCACUUAUGUCCGGAAAGAAAUCCUUGGCCCUAAUACGGUCGGGGGAUGACGGUACCGGAAGAAUAAGCACCGGCUAACUACGUG
rnacentral:rRNA from 1 species